ensembl:lncRNA
CGUCACAGUUGAAGGAUGGUGUGACACACGGACACACGGACGGACAGCCAGAGGUCACCACUCAGAGCCAGAUCAUGGCUCCCAUGUCUCUCCUUUUCCUGGGCCUCCUCCUCUCCUUCCUCCAUCCCACAGAUGCCCAGACCGUCAUUGGUUCCUCGUCCUCGUUCUCUCUUCUGGACCCGCCCGUAAAUUUGUCACCUCCACCUACCAAGCAGAGCGCUAGAUUCUGGCCUUCUCUGCCGCCCAAAGGGCGCAGCGACGUGCCCAUCAGAGCCGCCGCUCCAGAUAGACAGACGACCACCGAUGCAGCGCAGCAGGGCAGGAGAUCACAGUCCAGCCCUCCUUUUGUAUCUGCCCACUCAACGCAGAAGAACCUCAGCAGCGGGCCAGUUUUACCCCACCCAACUGCCUCCAGGCCCAGGACUGAUACCGCCAGCUUAGCGAUCAGCCGGGCCUCUUUAAAGGGUGACGCUACUGUGAGGAGCUCAACUCCUCCUGUCCCCACUUUGCCGUUCGCCGCCGUCUCUGGGUCCGCGGGCGACGAGCCAGCGGCUGCGUGGAAUCCAUCGCUCAAAGAAUCGGAGGGUGACGAUUUGCCGGAGUUGGGAUCCGGAAGCGUUCCGACGGCGACGCCCGUGAACGAGGAAUCCCCCGCGCCCCCGACGACCGUGUUUGAUGAAAUGGCUCAGCACCAGCCCCAGGCGCAGACGGCGACGUCCGAAGAGCUCGACGUCGAAACACCGCCGCCGCCGACGGAGCCGCAACUGUCCGGGCUCACGACAGCCGGCAAAACCUCCACGUCGCCACAGACCGAGACCAGAGCGCCACCUCGGGCCGCAGCGUCAACAGGUAAACUGACAGAGAGCGCUUCCACCUCCACCUCUACCUCUACCUCUACCUCCACCUCCACCUCUACCACAUCAGCCAGACCCGCUGUGAGCGCUGAACGGCCAGCGGGCACCACGACGCAGCGAGCCGCAACCACGUCUACACCCGGUACGCUCGCUGCCACGCGGGAGGCCGCGAGAACCUCCGGCAGGACAUCACGUCGCCCAAACAAAAGCGCCCAACCGGGAAGAAGCACAACGGCACCGACGGCCCGGCCAGUGAACUCUUCCUUCCUCGCCACCGGAGUCCCCCAAACAGGGUUAAGCCCCACGCAUCAGGCCGGGCCUGCUCAGAGUAACCGCUCCAUCCUCCUUGGACAUCCCCACCAAGCCCCCGCCUCUACGUCCACUCCAGCCCCCCCUCCCGGCGACCUCCCCCCCCCCCACCGGUACGCUCCUGUACUGGGGGGACCUGAGCCGGACGCUGGCCUUUGCCUGGGAGCUGCACGUCUACGGCUCGGCGAGUCUCUUCGUCCUCCUGUUCGCCGGAGCGGCCCUCGGCCUCACCCUGUCCCCCGGG